rnacentral:rRNA from 1 species
GACGAACGCUGGCGGCGUGCUUAACACAUGCAAGUCGAACGCUGAAGGCCUGGCUUUUGUUGGGUUGGAUGAGUGGCGAACGGGUGAGUAACACGUGAGUAACCUGCCCUCUUCUUUGGGAUAACGCCCGGAAACGGGUGCUAAUACUGGAUAUUCACUGAUCUUCGCAUGGGGGUUGGUGGAAAGGUUUGUUCUGGUGGGGGAUGGGCUCGCGGCCUAUCAGCUUGUUGGUGGGGUGAUGGCCUACCAAGGCGUUGACGGGUAGCCGGCCUGAGAGGGUGACCGGUCACAUUGGGACUGAAAUACGGCCCAGAAUCAUACGGGAGGCAGCAGUGGGGAAUAUUGCACAAUGGGAGAAAGCCUGAUGCAGCGACGCCGCGUGAGGGAUGGAGGCCUGCGGGUUGUAAACCUCUUUCGCUCAUGGUCAAGCCGCAACUGUGGGUUGUGGUGAGGGUAGUGGGUAAAGAAGCGCCGGCUAACUACGUG